UACGUAGGGGCCGAGCGUUGUCCGGAGUUAUUGGGCGUAAAGCGCGCGCAGGCGGCCUCGCGCGCCCGAUGUGAAAGCCCCCGGCUUAACCGGGGAGGGUCGUUGGGGACGGCGGGGCUUGAGGGCGGGAGAGGUCGGUGGAAUUCCCGGUGUAGUGGUGAAAUGCGUAGAGAUCGGGAGGAACACCUGUGGCGAAGGCGGCCGACUGGGCCGACCCUGACGCUGAGGCGCGAAGGCGUGGGGAGCGAACGGG
rnacentral:rRNA from 1 species